UGAGGGACCUGUGUGGUUGUGGUUCACAGCUCUGAAAAUGCAGUUGGGUUCACAGGACUCCUUAAUAAUGUUACUGAAAUGUAUUGAUACCAAAAUGGGAUAUCCAUAAGUGAGGGAGUCUGACCUGUGGCUGGAUGUAUAGGUCUACUUUACAUUGCACUUACAAGAUCGGGUCCAACACCAAGCUUCCUUUCCCCAGGGGCCAGACUAAGUAAGAAGAUGCUUGUGCUAAAAAACUCAGCCCCUCUGAGCAGCUCUCACCCAGUGGAGACCCUGUGGGAGUGCAGGAGCACUGGAGCAAAUUUCCAGGUCAGGAGCGCUGACCAGUGUCCUGCUCCCGAGCCUCCAGCAGAAGGGGCUGGGGAAUUGACCCCUGCACGGAGCCGUGACGAUGCCAGCUGGACCCGGCUCUGGGGCUGUGUGGGGCUCCUGUGGUGCAAAGUUUACAGCUGAAUUUAAGACACUGAGGCUUUUAUCUAUUACCAAAUUCCCUGAAUACUCUGAACGCAAGAAAUCCCAAAGCAGAAGGAGUUGGUCCUAAGUGGUUUAAGACUGAUUUCCCUCUCCCAACUUACAGAGGGAUGUUCAGGCAUCUCAAAUCUCAGCUGCCCUCUGUACCUGCACUUCCCACUGACUAAAGGAACAUGAUUCUC